rnacentral:rRNA from 1 species
GAGUUUGAUCGUGGCUCAGAUUGAACGCUGGCGGCAGGCCUAACACAUGCAAGUCGAGCGGUAGAGAGAAGCUUGCUUCUCUUGAGAGCGGCGGACGGGUGAGUAAUGCCUAGGAAUCUGCCUGGUAGUGGGGGAUAACGCUCGGAAACGGACGCUAAUACCGCAUACGUCCUACGGGAGAAAGCAGGGGACCUUCGGGCCUUGCGCUAUCAGAUGAGCCUAGGUCGGAUUAGCUAGUUGGUGAGGUAAUGGCUCACCAAGGCGACGAUCCGUAACUGGUCUGAGAGGAUGAUCAGUCACACUGGAACUGGGACACGGUCCAGACUCCUACGGGAGGCAGCAGUGGGGAAUAUUGGACAAUGGGCGAAAGCCUGAUCCAGCCAUGCCGCGUGUGUGAAGAAGGUCUUCGGAUUGUAAAGCACUUUAAGUUGGGAGGAAGGGCAGUAAAUUAAUACUUUGCUGUUUUGACGUUACCGACAGAAUAAGCACCGGCUAACUCUGUGCCAGCAGCCG